rnacentral:rRNA from 1 species
UACAGAGGUCUCAAGCGUUGUUCGGAUUCAUUGGGCGUAAAGGGUGCGUAGGUGGCGCGGUAAGUCGGGUGUGAAAUUUCGGAGCUUAACUCCGAAACUGCAUUCGAUACUGCCGUGCUUGAGGACUGGAGAGGAGACUGGAAUUUACGGUGUAGCAGUGAAAUGCGUAGAGAUCGUAAGGAAGACCAGUGGCGAAGGCGGCUUCCUGGAUCACCCCUGACGCUGAGACGCGAAAGCGUGGGGAGCGAACGGG